AAGAGAGCCGUAACACAGGUGCUGCAUGGCUGUCGUCAGCUCGUGUCGUGAGAUGUUGGGUUAAGUCCCGCAACGAGCGCAACCCUUGUCAUUAGUUGCUACAUUCAGUUGGGCACUCUAAUGAGACUGCCGGUGACAAACCGGAGGAAGGUGGGGAUGACGUCAAGUCCUCAUGGCCCUUAUAGGUGGGGCUACACACGUCAUACAAUGGAUGGUACAAAGGGUCGCCAACCCGCGAGGGGGAGCCAAUCCCAUAAAGCCAUUCGUAGUCCGGAUCGCAGUCUGCAACUCGACUGCGUGAAGUCGGAAUCGCUAGUAAUCGUGGAUCAGAAUGUCACGGUGAAUACGUUCCCGGGUCUU
rnacentral:rRNA from 1 species